CUGUAGCUUGCUAUGGUAUAACUUAGUGGCAAACGGGUGAGUAAUGUAUAGGAAUCUACCUAGUAGUACGGAACAAUUGUUGGAAACGGCAACUAAUACCGUAUACGCCCUACGGGGGAAAGAUUUAUUGCUAUUAGAUGAGCCUAUAUUAGAUUAGCUAGUUGGUGAGGUAACGGCUCACCAAGGCGACGAUCCAUAGCUGGUCUGAGAGGAUGAUCAGCCACACUGGGACUGAGACACGGCCCAG
rnacentral:rRNA from 1 species